rnacentral:rRNA from 1 species
UACGUAGGGUGCGAGCGUUUGUCCGGAAUUACUGGGCGUAAAGAGCUCGUAGGUGGUUUGUCGCGUUGUUCGUGAAAUCUCACGGCUUAACUGUGAGCGUGCGGGCGAUACGGGCAGACUAGAGUACUGCAGGGGAGACUGGAAUUCCUGGUGUAGCGGUGGAAUGCGCAGAUAUCAGGAGGAACACCGGUGGCGAAGGCGGGUCUCUGGGCAGUAACUGACGCUGAGGAGCGAAAGCGUGGGGGAGCGAACAGG